rnacentral:tRNA from 1 species
GAGAAAGGUCCGCAUAGGCAAAUGAAUCCUGCUAAAUUUCAUACCCCCCGGUUGGACUCCGGGGCUUUACUCG